AGGGGGGGGUGCUAUACAUGCAAGUCGAGCGAACAGAUAAGGAGCUUGCUCCUUUGACGUUAGCGGCGGACGGGUGAGUAACACGUGGGUAACCUACCUAUAAGACUGGAAUAACUCCGGGAAACCGGGGCUAAUGCCGGAUAAUAUUUAGAACCGCAUGGUUCUAAAGUGAAAGAUGGUUUUACUAUCACUUAUAGAUGGACCCGCGCCGUAUUAGCUAGUUGGUGGGGUAAUGGCUUACCAAGGCAACGAUACGUAGCCGACCUGAGAGGGUGAUCGGCCACACUGGAACUGAGACACGGUCCAGACUCCUACGGGAGGCAGCAGUAGGGAAUCUUCCGCAAUGGGCGAAAGCCUGACGGAGCAACGCCGCGUGAGUGAUGAAGGUCUUCGGAUCGUAAAACUCUGUUAUUAGGGAAGAACAAAUGUGUAAGUAACUGUGCACGUCUUGACGGUACCUAAUCAGAAAGCCACGGCUAACUACGUGCCAGCAGCCGCGGUAAUACGUAGGUGGCAAGCGUUAUCCGGAAUUAUUGGGCGUAAAGCGCGCGUAGGCGGUUUCUUAAGUCUGAUGUGAAAGCCCACGGCUCAACCGUGGAGGGUCAUUGGAAACUGGGAAACUUGAGUGCAGAAGAGGAAAGUGGAAUUCCAUGUGUAGCGGUGAAAUGCGCAGAGAUAUGGAGGAACACCAGUGGCGAAGGCGACUUUCUGGUCUGUAACUGACGCUGAUGUGCGAAAGCGUGGGGAUCAAACAGGAUUAGAUACCCUGGUAGUCCACGCCGUAAACGAUGAGUGCUAAGUGUUAGGGGGUUUCCGCCCCUUAGUGCUGCAGCUAACGCAUUAAGCACUCCGCCUGGGGAGUACGACCGCAAGGUUGAAACUCAAAGGAAUUGACGGGGACCCGCACAAGCGGUGGAGCAUGUGGGUUUAAUUUCGAAAGCAACGCGAAAGAACCCUUACCAAAUCUUGACAUCCUUUUGACAACCUCUAGAGAU
rnacentral:rRNA from 1 species